rnacentral:tmRNA from 1 species
GGGGAUGUCACGGUUUUGACAGAUGCACAGAGGUUAUCAGUAAGCAUAUCGCAGGGCAUACUGCGCAAAAAUAGCAAUUAAAUAUAAAUGCAAGCCCAAGAAUGGCUUACGCUGCUGCUUAAUUAUAGCGCACGUUGCUUUUAGCUUUGUCUCACAAAAAGUUAAAAGUAUUAUUUAAGUGAGUAAUGUUUUAAAAGUGCUGUUCUAAUUUUUAAAACGUGAUUAUAGAACUUAUUUAGCUUUUAUGUUUGUCCAUCCAUAAUGCUAUUGAAAAUUAAAUGGACUAAGUAUGUAGAAGGGAUAACUAAAAUGUAUUUGGACGCGAGUUCAACCCUCGCCAUCUCCACCA